rnacentral:rRNA from 1 species
GGACUGAGACACUGCCCAGACUCCUACGGGAGGCUGCAGUCGAGAAUCUUUAGCAAUGGACGAAAGUCUGACUAUGCGACGCCGCGUGCAGGAUGAAGUAUUUCGGUACGUAAACUGCUUUUGUCAGGAAAGAAAAUUUCAGUAUUAAUAGUGCUGAAACUGACGGUACCUGACGAAUAAGCCACGGCCAACUCCGUGCCAGCAGCCGCGGUAAUACGGGGGUGGCAAGCGUUACUCGGAAUUAUUGGGUGUAAAGGGCAAGUAGGCGGCUUAAUAAGUGAGGGGUGAAAUCUUCCGACUCAAUCGGAAAACUGCCUUUCAAACUAGUAGACUUGAGAUUGGAAGAGGGAAACGGAAUUAGCAGUGUAAGGGUGAAAUCUGUAGAUAUUGCUAAGAACACCAGCGGCGAAGGCGGUUUCCUGGUCCAAGUCUGACGCUAAAUUACGAAAGCUAGGGGAGCAAACAGAAUUAGAUACUCUGGUAGUCCUAGCUGUAAACGAUGAGCACUAGGUGUUGGUCCUUCGGGAUCAGUGCCGCAGCUAACGCAUUAAGUGCUCCACCUGGGGACUACGGCCGCAAGGCUAAAACUCAAAGGAAUUGACGGGGACCCGCACAAGCGGUGGAACAUGUGGUUUAAUUCGAUGCUACGCGAAGAACCUCACCAAGGCUUGACUUGCUCGUCGUAUCUCCUUGAAAGGGGAGAGUCAUUUAGUUGGACGAUGCACAGGUGCUGCAUGGCUGUCGUCAGCUCGUGUCGUGAGAUGUUGGGUUAAGUCCCGCAACGAGCGCAACCAUUGCCCCAUGUUGCUACCAUACCGAAACCUUCGGGUUUAGGUGUGCGCACUCUUGGGGGACUGCCCGGGAUAACCGGGAGGAAGGUGGAGAUGACGUCAAGUCAGUACGGCCCUUAUGCCUUGGGCUACACACGUGUUACAAUGGACGGUACAGAGGGUUGCCAACCCGCGAGGGGGAGCUAAUCUCAAAAAGCCGUCCUCAGUUCGGAUUGGAGUCUGCAAUUCGACUCCAUGAAGCCGGAAUCGCUAGUAAUGGGAGAUCAGCUCGCUCCCGUGAAUACGUUCCCGGGUCUUGUACACACCGCCCGUCAAGCGAUGAAAGCUGGGGGUACCCGAAGUCCUAUGUAGAUAGGCCGAAGGUAAAACUGGUGAUUGGCGCUAAGUCGUAACAAGGUAGCCGUACG